rnacentral:rRNA from 1 species
UGCAUGGCUGUCGUCAGCUCGUGUCGUGAGAUGUUCGGUUAAGUCCGCUAACGAGCGCAACCCUCGUCGUAUGUUAUAUGUGUCAUACGAGACUGCCGGUAAAAGCCGGAGGAAGGUGAGGAUGAUGUCAAGUCAGCAUGACCUUUAUAUCCAGGGCUACACACACGCUACAAUGGUCUGUACAAUGGGUAGCCAAGCCGCGAGGCGGAGCCAAUCCUGAAAGCAGGCCUCAGUUCAGAUUGCAGUCUGCAACUCGACUGCAUGAAGCCGGAGUUGCUAGUAACCGCAGGUCAGCAAUACUGCGGUGAAUACGUUCCCGGGUCUU